rnacentral:rRNA from 1 species
AACGAACGCUGGCGGCAUGCCUAACACAUGCAAGUCGAACGAGACCUUCGGGUCUAGUGGCGCACGGGUGCGUAACGCGUGGGAAUCUGCCCUUGGGUCUGGAAUAACAGUUAGAAAUGACUGCUAAUACCGGAUGAUGACUUCGGUCCAAAGAUUUAUCGCCCAAGGAUGAGCCCGCGUAGGAUUAGCUAGUUGGUAGGGUAAAGGCCUACCAAGGCGACGAUCCUUAGCUGGUCUGAGAGGAUGAUCAGCCACACUGGGACUGAGACACGGCCCAGACUCCUACGGGAGGCAGCAGUGGGGAAUAUUGGACAAUGGGCGAAAGCCUGAUCCAGCAAUGCCGCGUGAGUGAUGAAGGCCCUAGGGUUGUAAAGCUCUUUUACCCGGGAUGAUAAUGACAGUACCGGGAGAAUAAGCCCCGGCUAACUCCGUGCCAGCCGCCGCAGUAAGAC